rnacentral:rRNA from 1 species
GACGAACGCUGGCGGCGUGCUUAACACAUGCAAGUCGAACGGAAAGGCCCUGCUUUUGUGGGGUGCUCGAGUGGCGAACGGGUGAGUAACACGUGAGUAACCUGCCCUUGACUUUGGGAUAACUUCAGGAAACUGGGGCUAAUACCGGAUAGGAGCUCCUGCUGCAUGGUGGGGGUUGGAAAGUUUCGGCGGUUGGGGAUGGACUCGCGGCUUAUCAGCUUGUUGGUGGGGUAGUGGCUUACCAAGGCUUUGACGGGUAGCCGGCCUGAGAGGGUGACCGGCCACAUUGGGACUGAGAGACGGCCCAGACUCCUACGGGAGGCAGCAGUGGGGAAUAUUGCACAGUGGGCGGAAGCCUGAUGCAGCAACGCCGCGUGCGGGAUGACGGCCUUCGGGUUGUAAACCACUUUCGCCUGUGACGAAGCGUGAGUGACGGUAAUGGGUAAAGAAGCACCGGCUAACUACGUG